GCAACUCUUAAAUUUUAGUUAAAAUCAUAGAUUUUAAAUGUGAAGUGCUAGAUAACUAUACCAUAUUUAGUGUUCUCUAUAAUUAAUACUUUUUUAAUAUUAUUAAAAAAUAUUGUGUUUUUUUAGGUGCGAAACUUUACUUUUUUACCGUUAAGUUAAUAAACAUUUCAUAAUUAACUAUUUUGUGGAAAACAGUAUCAGUUUACAAAAAUCUCAUGGGACAAUUUGUAAAAUUUUGUUAAAUCUUUUCAUUGUCCAUAACAAAGUAAUUUUACUUUGUAUAAAUCCAACUGGAAGACACUGUUAUAUAUGUCUAUAUUGACCCCUCAUAAAUUUAGUUAUUAAACCCCUUUUUGAUAAAAGUUAAAAACUAGUUGAUACAAAAAGUAGGCAGUGUAUCCACAUGUUUAUUUAUUUUUAAAUUUUGCACUUAUUCCACCAGUUGCCAACUGUGGAACAAACUUUCUCAUCAACAAACUUUUUCAACACAAAAUUGUGCAAUUACAUACGUGAUCAAUUGAUGAAAGACUAUUUAGUUAUUUAAAAAAAGAGAAAUGUAUUUGAUGGUAUUAAUAAUGAUAUAAUUCUUAAUAUUUUUUAGGAUAUUGGAUCUCGUCAAGUUUGAUUGUUAAAUAUUAAUAUUAUAUGUUUUAGUAAUAUUUUAUCAUUUACUGUCUAUAUGUUGAUCCAAUAAAAAUUUUUUUUCUGGAUCUGCUUAUCCGUCACAAUUUAUUUAAUUCCAGGCAAUUGCCAAAGUAACUUUUGCACCACAUCAGAUAACAAAACACGGAAAAAGAAAAUCACAUAAAGUCCAACCUUUAACCAGAACACUAAGGCUCUAUUUAUUUCACAGAAAAUGACUUGUUUGUAUGAAAACAAAUUAUUUUUAUGUUGUUUGGCUAUAUAAUAGAAAAUCAGCAGGAAAAUAUUUUCUGACUUUUGGUGCACAUUAAUAAUAAUCAAUUUUCUGUAUAUGAAAUUCAUGUCCAAAAAUUAAACUAAACCAUCA
rnacentral:misc_RNA from 1 species